UACAGAGGGUGGCAAGCGUUGUUCGGAAUUAUUGGGCGUAAAGGGUGCGUAGGCGGCGCGGUAAGUCGGGUGUGAAAUCUUGGAGCUUAACUCCGAAACUGCAUUCGAUACUGCCGUGCUUGAGGACUGGAGAGGAGACUGGAAUUUACGGUGUAAGCGGUGAAAUGCGUAGAUAAUCGUAAGGAAGACCAGUGGCGAAGGCGGGUCUCUGGACAGUUCCUGACGUGAGGCACGAAGGCCAGGGGAGCAAACGGG
rnacentral:rRNA from 1 species